CGGAGCCUCCGUCGCCGCCUCGAAGCUGCUGCAGCCGGACACACAAGCAGCAGACCCGGCCGCAGACACGGAGCCAUGGCCGCUGACGGCAGCCGAUCCACGGCCUGCACCGGCUCCAGCCUGCUGCAGCCGGUCAGUGAGAUCACCAACCUGCCGCUGGACCAGGUGAACUUUGUGGUGUGUCAGCUCUGUGCUUUGCUGUCGGCCUUCUGGUUUCGUCUCUUCCUCCAUCCCAGUAAAACCAGUCCCUUCAUCAGACAUGUGGUGGCGACUCUGCUGGGACUCUACUUCGCUCUAUUCUGCUUCGGCUGGUAUGCUCUUCACUUCCUGGUUCAGAGCGGACUCACCUACGGCAUCAUGAUCCUGACCGGAGUCGAACACAUGCACAAAUACUGCCUGCUGGUGGCUCUCAGCUACCUGAGUCUGUGUCAGAUCACUCGAGUCUACGUCUUCGACUACGGCAUGUACUCUGCCGACUUCACCGGCCCCAUGAUGGUGAUCACACAAAAAAUCACCAGCCUGGCGUUUGAGAUCCAUGACGGAAUGGCUCGAAAAGAGGAACAUCUGACUCCAGGACAGAAGAUUUUGGCCAUAAGGAGGAUGCCCAGUCUGCUGGAGUACUUCAGCUACAACUGUAACUUCCUGGGGAUCCUGGCCGGACCCACCUGCUCCUACAACGACUACAUUGCCUUCAUCGAGGGAGACCCCCGUCGCCAUAGAGACCAUGAGGCUGACAGGAAGCCCAACGGCAAGCUGAGGCAGAGCGAGCCGUCGCCAAAUACGGAGGUCGUCAGGAAAGUGGCCACCUCCUUCCUCUGCCUGCUGGUCUUCCUGUCCGUCUGUAAAGUCUUCCCCGUGGAACGAAACAUCGACGACGACUUCAUCGCCAACACGCCCUUCUAUGCUCAGGUGGUCUACCUGUACCUGUCCAUGCUGACCACCAGACCCAAGUACUACUUCGUCUGGACGCUGGCUGACGCCAUCAACAACGCCGCCGGCUUCGGGUUCAACGGCUACGACAGUGACGGCUAUCCUCGCUGGGACCUCAUCUCCAACCUGCGGAUCCUCAACAUCGAGUUCGCCACCAGCUUCAAAGUUUUCCUGGACAACUGGAACAUUCAGACGGCGCACUGGCUCAAAAGGGUGUGUUACGAGCGAUGUCCCUACCACCCUACGGCAGCCACCUUCAUCCUGUCAGCCAUGUGGCACGGAGCGUAUCCAGGCUACUACCUCACCUUCCUCACCGGCAUCGUCAUCACACUGGCAGCUAGAGCGGUCAGACACAACGUUCGGCCACACUUCCUUCAGUCACCCUCCCAUAAACUGGUCUAUGAUGUCAUCACAUGGGCGGCCACUCAGAUUGCCAUCUGCUACACAGUGGUGCCUUUUAUCCUGUUGUCUGUCGGCCCGUCGAUAAAGUUUUACAGGUCCUGGUACUUUGGUCUCCACAUCGGUUGCGUUCUGCUGGCUGUGGCGUUGCCGGUCAAACCGAGACAUCUCCGCCUCAAAGACCAGAAGAAAAAAUUGCCCCAGGAGCCAGUCCAGCACCACCUGGAGGCUUCAGACAGCAACUGCAGCCAGAAGGAAAAAACCACGAGACAGACCACAAAGAACAAUCGCGUAUGACAUUAUAUUUCCAUUCACUUGUAUAGAAAGACGAGGAGGUGAACCACAUCAAACGGACCUUCUUCCUUUCUGGGAGCCCUGCAGACUGUCCAUCUGCAGGAGUGAGUGGAUAAAGGGAGGAAUAACUGAAUGGAUGAACGGAUGAUUAAAUGAGAUUAUAUGAAAAGACAGAAUGAGCAAGUGGAUGAAUACAUGAGUUUGGUGAAUGAAUGGAUGAAUGAAUGAGCAGGCCAGUGAGUUAGUGCAUUAAACAAGUAAAUGAAUGAACAAAGAAGAAGAAGAAAAUGAACUUUUCUCCUCCACAUUCCUCUGAUUUCACAGGUCGACUGUCAUCGUGUUAUAAUCUCUUCAACCACUACGUCACAGUAUCAUAGACAUGAGUUUUGGAGAAAGUGCCAAUGAUUAUUCCACUCAGUCGCCUUAGUUGUUUUCUUUUGUUUUUUUACAAGAAAAAUGCUGUUGACUCUUUCUUGAUGUGUGAGUGCUGAGGAAGACCUUGUGUUUACAUUUGUAGAUGUCAGUUUUUGUCAAGUAGUUAUUUAUGUAAUCUGUACCACUUUCUGAUAAGGCACCAGUUAUAAAGGGUUUAUGAGCCGUAAUUAAUGGCUUUAAUAAUGGAUAAUAAAUAAUUUGCCAAUACUUUAUAUACACGUUAUAAGCUAUUGAUAAGAACAAGUUUUAGGGCUCCAGGUUGUGGAAAAUCCUCCAACAGCACAUCACUCUACAUUUGUACCUUUUCUUUGCACGUAGAUCAACAGGUAAUAAAUAAUAAACAGGUAAUAAACAGUCCACUGGACAGGUCUCCCUAAAACAUGUUCUUAUUAAUGUCUUCUAACUGAUCUGUGGCGCAUCAGUAAAUUAUUUAUUAACCAUUAACAAAGCCACUGAUUACUGCUAAUAAACCCUUUAUAACUGGUGCCUUAUCAGAAAGUGGUCCCAUGUAAUUUAUGUGAUUCAAACAGAUGUGGUUUGGUGCCAGAUGUGCAGAGAGAUAGACUGAAAAAGGAAAAGAAACGCCUCAGAAUUUUAAGAAAUAAGCUCCAACUCUGAAGUUCAAAUGUCCAUGGUGCGAACUCAGAUUAAGUCCUUGUUCCAAAGAAGUGAACUCAACAUUUCCAGCUCUGGUUCAGUGAAGGGGUUCCUUAGUUUUGUUCCGUAGUUUUGUUCCGUAGUUUUGUUCCGUAGUUUUGUUCCGUAGUUUUGUUCCGUAGUUUUGUUCCGUAGUUUUGUUCCGUAGUUUUGCACAGAUAAUGCUAUAGUUCAAAUGAGUUUCUAAGAUAAAUUAGCUUAAAUUAGCCAACUCCUGAGUGUUGCAGCUCUGGUUAACUACAGGCUUGAUGUGGUCCAGGGGUUGGUUCAGGUUAUUAACUAGCAUAGAUGCUGUUUGCAUUGAAACUCAAACUGUUAACCUGUUCAGUGUUAGUGUUAGUUAAUGGUUCAGUUUAACAAACAAACAGUUUGGGUAGGGUUAGCUAACAGCUGAGUGCAACAGGCUUCAUUUACCUAAUAUGCAGUUUAGCAGGUAGAAGAGUUUAGAGCUGCAGCAAUUAGUUGAUUAAUUGAUUAGUCAGUCGACAGAAAAAUAAGCAGCAACUAUUUUGGUUUAAUUAAUUUUUCAAGUUAAAAUAGUGAAAAAGUGCCAAACAUGCGGUUCUAGGUUCUCAAGUCAUAAAUGAUCUUAACUGAAUCAUUUGGCUUUUGACUGUUAAUCAAACAAAACUCAUUGUUUUAAUUUAUAUUUUAUAUGAUUCAUUAAAAUAAAUUAUUUGCAGACAAACAUUAAUUAAACUAAUUGUUACUUGCAGCCCCAGACAAUUUUCCUGUUAGCUGUCUCUUGAUGGAAGAAGCUAACCGAGCGGGUUUAAGUUAGCUAAUGGUUCUGCUUAGCUAAAAAAGCUUGUUUGGGGUUGGCUAGCAGCUCAGUGUAAAAGCUAAUGGUUAGACAACAUCAGCUAACAGGAGCUAGCCGUAGGUUCAAUUUGGCUAAUUAAUUAUUAAUUAAUAAACAGUUUGUUUUAGCUGAAGUUUCUCUCCAGCAGCUUUAAAAGUUAAUGUCACCAGAAUGUUUGAGUUUCAUACAUAAAAUGUAAUUGUUCUGCACCAACUCCUCCCUCCAGUAAUGUUUCUAAAUGACAUGUACCAUGUUAACACUGCAUGGUUCAGUAGCCCUGUGUACGACCCCUUAAAUGAUCACAUGACUAACUUUCCCAUGAUUCCUUGUUUUCUUGAUGACCUGGUGUUUUCCAUCAUCGUCAGGCAGAACUAGUUACAGGAGAAAAAGGACGUUUUGGACUCAGCAUCACCUUCUUUGUUUACGUCUGUUGUUGUUUCUCCUUUCUUGAUUUUCCUGUUUCCACAUUUGUAUUUUUAGCGUUGUGUUUAUUUCUUAAAAUUUCAUGAGAGCUGGUUGAGGAUGAUAAAUACAGAGGCUCUAGGGUGACUGUUUGAGAUGAUACACAACAAUUAAUAAUCUCACACCGAACCAGCCACUAUCUGUGGGUUUGAUAUGGACGAUAUGUUUGUUUGUUUUUUUGUAAAUUAUGUGAUUAAACCUUGGAUUUUUUUGACACUUGACAUUGCAAGUGUGUUAAUCAGUGGUUGUGGAUGUUUUAAAGCUGAAAUGAAAUGGAUGUAAGAUUUGUGUGGUCAGGAGAAGGGAAACAAAGGGUUUCUGGUAGGAAUAAUAAUCGGCAGACUGGGGCUGGGACACAGCUCUGGAAGAUAACACCUGUCCUACUACAUAUCCUCACGUGCACUUUAAACCCUAAUAAACUGAUAGUGGAUCAUGA